AGCAGCCGCGGUAAUUCCAGCUCCAAUAGCGUAUAUUAAAGUUGUUGCAGUUAAAAAGCUCGUAGUUGAAUUUCGAGACCGGCUUACUGGUCGUGCUAUUGUACGUACUGGUAUAAUCGGUUUCUCCUUUCUGACGAACUUUAAUGCCAUUAAUUUGGUGUUUUAGGGAAUCAGGACUGUUACUUUGAAAAAAUUAGAGUGUUUAAAGCAGGCUCACGCUUGAAUACAUUAGCAUGGAAUAACGGAAUAGGACGUUUGAUUCUAUUUUGUUGGUUUCUAGGAUCGACGUAAUGAUUAAUAGGGAUAGUUGGGGGCAUUAGUAUUCAAUUGUCAGAGGUGAAAUUCUUGGAUUUAUUGAAGACUAACUACUGCGAAAGCAUUUGCCAAGGAUGUUUUCAUUAAUCAAGAACGAAAGUUAGGGGAUCGAAGACGAUCAGAUACCGUCGUAGUCUUAACCAUAAACUAUGCCGACUAGGGAUCGGAUGAUGUUAAUUUUUAAUGACUCAUUCGGCGCCUU
rnacentral:rRNA from 1 species